AACUUUCAACAACGGAUCUCUUGGUUCUGGCAUCGAUGAAGAACGCGGCCAAAUGCGAUAAGUAAUGCGAAUUGCAGAGCUUCAGUGAGUCAUCGAAUCUUCGAACGCACAUUGCGCCCGGCGGCAUUCCGCCGGGCAUGCCUGUCCGAGCGUCGUUU
rnacentral:rRNA from 1 species